CGGAGUAGCUCAGUUGGUAGAGCAACUCACUUGUAAUGAGUAGGUCGGGGGUUCGAGUCCUCUCUCC
rnacentral:tRNA from 1 species